UCAUCAUCAUUCUUGAUCAUUUGCAGCCGCUCCAAUCAGUUCAUCCUCACAGCUUCUCUGUUGUGCUGCUGUAUUUUUAGGAAGCUGUUCUCAGAUAGUUAUUUCCAAGAUUUCCAUAGAGAACAAACCUUAAAAGAAAAACAAGGAAACAAACUCAAAUAUGCAGAAGUUUCUUUGAGGAAGUCGCAUCUUACUCAUAGCAGAAAAUAAACAUGCAUCUAGAAGCAGAGUGUUAGUUCAGAGAGUGGAACUGACCGAGACAGAUGAGAGGAGAACGAUGGCUGAGCUGCAGUGGAUUAAAACGCUUUUAUUUCUGAUCCUGAUGCUUCAGUUUCCAGCAAAAGCAUCUGGAAAAUAUGUGUAUAUCACUGUCAGGGACGGAGAUGACGUCACUUUGCCUUGUGGAAAUGUGAGAGAUGAUCAGGAUAAAUGCUCAAACACUGACUGGCUCUUUGAUAGACCACAAUACACAAGAGCAGUGGUGCUGGUCAGACACGGACACGUUGACAACCGUGAGAUUUCGAGAAGUAAAUCAGACAGACUGAGUGUUACAGAGAACUGUUCUGUGGUCGUAGAGAAGGUCACGGUGGAGGAUGCUGGUCGUUACAGCUGUAGACUGUACAACACAUCAGGUCACGAGCAAGGUGAAGACGCCGUGGUUCGUCUGUUCGUUGUUAUCAUGACUAAUCAUCAUGGAGACGUGGACACAGUAAACUGUUCUGUGUCAGCAUUUAAUGAGUGCAGACACACGGUGAAGUGGUUCUAUGAGGGUAAAGCUGUGAGUGAUGUCAAACACAUGAGGUCGUGGCAGUCGGACUGCUCAGCCAGCGUGUCCUUCAUGAAUUCUUCCCUGGAGUGUGAAGUGACGCAUGUAACCAGCGGGGAGGGGAAGCGGUUUCCCUUCAAACCUCAGUCUGCAGAUUACAGAGCAUCAGCGACGACAUCACCAGCUAAUGUGAGGAUAAACUCUCUGAGAACGUUAAACUCAACAGGACAAGCUCAAACUGAUUGUUCUGCUCUGAACUUCAUCAUAUUGAUGAUGCAUGUGGUUGAAAUCCUCCUCCUGACUGUGAUUGUUGUUCUUCUCAUCAGAGCUCAAUGUUGUGUAUUCUGAAAAAGGCCGAACAGUGAAGUGUUCACAUGCAGAAGUUCGUCAGGUGCAUAAUGAAGAACCAUGAAACUUUGAAACAUCUGCAGAAACUCACCUGAGAAUAAAUAAAAAUGUCUUCAACCUUCAACAUAAAAGACAAGUACUGUAAAAUAACCUUUAAACUUAGAUUUAUCAUUAAUGAGCAAAGAAAAGGUUCUUUCAAAAAACAGGAUCUGCACUGAUUACAAACAGGAAAUGGGCUGUAGCUCUCUAAAAUAUUCACUAUUUCAGAAACUCAAAAGGAAGCAGGCUGGUUGAAUUUUGAAUUUUUAUACAACUAAGGUCAAAUCAUGCAAAUAAAACUGUAAGAUGUAGCUUUAAAGGAGCAGUGUGUUAAAUUUACAGAGUAAACCUGUAAACGGGGUGUUCCUAAAAGAGUAGUUUCUUUUUACAGAGUCUGUCAUGUUGCACCACCACGUUUCUACAGGAGCCCAGAACAGACAAACGAAUGUCUCUGUGACGCUGUUGCACCAUCUGAAAACUGAUGAUCAGGCAGCUAAAUUCAAUUUUAUUUGUAGAGCGCUGUGAAUGUGUAUGAAUCAUAAUAAUCAGAUUGUCCCUGAUGAGGAAGCCGAGGGCGACGGUGGCAAGAAAAAACUCCCUGAGAAGGCGACAGGAAGAAACCUUGAGAGGAACCAGACUCGACAGGGAACCCAUCCUCAUAUGAGUGAUUACAUGCUGUGUAGGCAGCAGGCAGUCCAGUAUAACAGUAAACUAAAGUCGUCGUCUUCUUUUUGCCACAUGCCACAACUGGUCCUGCAGCCGACCACAGUGGGCACGUGUUGGUUUUCUUGAUCCAGGAUCUUAAAUUCAGAUGCGUUAAAAAGUUUUUAUCUCUGAUCCUGAUGCUUCAGUUUACAGAUGAACAAACAUUUAACAGCUAAAUAACACCGUUAAUAAUUAGAGCUGUAUUGAAUUUUCCAGAAUCAUUUAUCAAGAGAAGAAGAAAAAGGCUGAUGGCUGAACGCUGCAGACACACAGUGAAUGUUUUAGGAGUGAAGAUUUGGAUAUAUGCAUGUUGAGAGCCAGGUUUCACUCUGUCCUGUGUUUUAAAGCACAGACUCUCUUAUGGACUCCACAUGUACUGUACAGUCUGCUAGUUAUUGAUUUAGAGGGUUUAUUGAAUGAGAAGUUAUUGUUUUCUUUUUAAUAGUUUGUAUUGAAGCACUAGUUGUUCUGUGUGGCACCAGGUGAUGGAUGUACUGAAUGAGUGGAUUACAUACUGUACCAACAGGACCUACAGAAGCUGAAGUGAAAAUCUGUUGCUGUGUUGUGCAACACAAAUGAAUGUUUAUGUACUGUACUCGGUCAAAAGCUCAAACUAAAAAAAUCAAACAAAUCUAAUUUUUUGUUUUUCAAAAUCAAUAUUAUGUAGUUUCAGAGUAAAUGUGUGUCCUUGACUGUUUAAUGGUGGUUCUAACAUCCUCAUCAGCAAACCAAACAAAUACAUCUCACAUCAUUGCAGUUUGUUUUUUACGUCAUCUGUAUUUAUACUGUUCUGGAUUCAGUCCAAAUGUUUGAUGGUUUGUUCUGAUACCAUUUAUUACACUUAUUAAAUGCAUUUAGACACAGUAUGUAUAAACAGUACAUACAAGUUUAAUUAAGUCUGUGUCACUUGUAUAAUAUAUGAAAGAGUAAAAUUAGUGUUCUGUUUUAAUUAGACAAUGAGCUCCACCACACGUCACAGAAAUACACCACAGAGGGUACACUGUGCAUCUGCUGAGCCUUAGUAUUUGCUUUAAACAGCAUUGUGCUGUGAUUAAGGUCUUAUCAGUAUUGAUGCUGAUGAAGCUGAUAUGAGCCACCUCAUUAAAGUUAACAUCGACAAACAGGAGAAAGGAUAAAAAAUGCAGAAGUUACAGGAGGAAGUUAAGUCUCAGUGAUCACAGGAAGUGGAUAGACAGUACAUCAUGAUCACAAUGUUAGAAGCAGCAGCUCGGAGACUCUGGAAGAACAAGAGAGAAGAAUGAAAACGUUCUUCAAGCUUUAAUCGUGUGUGUUGUUCAUGUUUGUCUCUUAUUAUUUUAUUAGGAGUCGUCACUGGACAAAUCUCCUACAUCACAGUCAGAGAAGGAGACGACGUCGCUUUGCCUUGUGGGAACGUGAAGGAGGAUCAGGAUGAAUGUUACAGCACUGACUGGUUCUUUGAUGAUUCAGGAAUUUCUAAAUUAGCCUAAAUCAAAUCUAAAUCAGACAGACUGAGUGUCACAGAGAAGUGUUAUCUGUUUAUAAAGAAGGUGACAGAGGAGGACGCUGGUCGGUACGGCUGCAGACAGUUCAUAUCAGGACAAAAACAUGAAGGUGCUCUCCUCGUUCUCUCUGUUGUUACCAGUGAGUAUUUAAAACCACAAUGUUAAUGUUGUUAAUGGACUCUAAACUUACCAUCUCAGUUACAAUUCUUCAAUCUUCAUCUUCACAGUGACUGAACAUAAGGACAGUGACAUGGUGACAUUAAACUGCUCUGUGUGGACGUUUGGACCCUGCAGAUUCUCAGUGAAGUGGCUCUAUGAGGUUAAAGAGACGAAGCAGAAUAACUUACAAGAGACUAGCUGCUACACCACUGUGUCUAUUCUGGAAUCACAUGUUAAGUCAAUAUACGACCGACUGAAGUGCUCAGUGACUGAUCCAAACACUGGGACGGUGCAGGAGUUCUUCUUCAGACAUCAGGCAUCAGGUGAAAAAACCUCUGAAGGGAUUUGAUUUAUUCUUUGUCCUUCAGUGGCAGCAGAUGAAUGAAUGAACAUACUGUGCUUUGUUUUCUGAUGAUUUACCAUCAUUUACAGCAGGGAACAGUUUGGUACAAUAGGUGGAUCUUCAGAGAGCAUGUGCACAAUAAAUGUUCUCUAAUGUUUUUCCAGGUUGGCUGAGGAUCGUUAUCGUCUCUGUGGGUUUAGCAACGCUCAUAAUUAUUGUUGUUACAGUCAAUGUAUGGACGAGAACUAAAGGUGAGAACAAUCAGUGAUGAACAGUUAAUAAAGAAACGUCUUAAUACUAACAACAAUUAUUGUUAUUGUUGUCGUCCUCGUCUCCUUUUUCUUUAAGGGAAUAAAACACAGAUGGAUAAAAACAGUGAGUAUAAAACUGUAUUUAUCUGUUUACACUGUGUAUUUAUGACAGCGGUUGUGAUAUUAUGUAAGAUCCUCUUGUGUUUGUGUGUUGUUGUUUUUUACAGCUUCAUAAUGAUGAAGAUGAAGAUACAGUGAACAUGUUGGAGACCCCUCUGCUUCUGUCAGACUCCACUGAUCAACAACUUCUACAUCAACUCACCACAGAAACGAGUCACUGCUGCUGAUUUAUCAGGAUCAGUUCAUCUAAUUGUAUACAAGUCACUUAAGUAUAAAAUAAUUUGAAGUAUAAAGGAACAAUUUCAGUGGAUUUGAUUCUUUAUUUAAGUGCUGUUAAUAUAUUUGCUGUAGUGUCAUAUUGUGUGAAAUCUAAACAUCCAUGGUCAAAACCCAUCGUGUCAUUAGCUGUUUCACUUAUGAACUCCAGUUAAAGGGUGGAGUUUCUCUUUUUCACACGUGCUAAAGUUGUGUGGAAAUCGUUUGGUCUCGGAGAGGUGUGGUCCCUGGGUAGAGUGUGCAGGAAACAGGAUGUGACACAAAAACUACACUGUUGAAAUCACACAGUCACAGCACAGCGAAGCAGAGCCAGUCGCACGACUAGAAACUCUGCAGAAAGAAUGGUGAAUAGGAGCUGGUAGGACAAUGUCUAUUAAAUGUCAAACACGGCUCCUCUGGGUGAUGUCUGGAGAAGUUCAGGGUUCCAAUGUUUGAAACGAGCAUAUAAAGAACCCUUUCACACAAGCACAGAGUUUGAUCUUCUCCAUUGGUCUGAAGACUCUUUUGAAGUGAAGAUCUUUGCGUCACUCUGAGUCUGUGUCACAGGAAACAUAGACAACAUCUGAUAAGUUAUGGAAUAAAACUAAUAAAAAUUACAUCUUUAAUAGCUUUAAGAAUUUGUCCUGUGAAAACACAUUGCUUCACCACAUAUCAAUGAACUAUUCAAGACAAUAAAACAGCACCUUACAUGCACUGUAUUUAAAUAUAAAUA
ensembl:lncRNA